rnacentral:lncRNA from 1 species
UAGUUUAUCUUGAGUAUGUUUGUGCAAGCUCUUGUAACCUAAUUCGUUACAUCGAGCGAGUUUUACUUUCCUAAUUAUUAUUCAAAGCACAUAUUGUUCUAAUACAUCGAUUCAAAUGAGAUUGGUCUAACUCUCUUGGUUAUAGCAUUUUGCAUGUAUAUCAGGCUUUUUCAAUUAUAUAUAUUGUUGAUAUCCGAUCUUUGACUUUGAUAGCCUUGUACAGUUACACAUUCUUGUGUUAAAUCUUUAUUGAUAGAAAUUGAAUAGUGUUCUAAAAUUCUAGAAACACUGGUAAACUAGUUCCAAACUAAACUCUCUUUAGUGCGGAAAUUCUAAAUUUAAACUGAGACGAACAACCCUAAUAUAGGGGAUUUUUGUACGUGUAACGUUUAGAUGUUUGUGCACAAUACAUG